ensembl:lncRNA
CCUGAUUGGAUUGACUGCAUUCUUUCCUCAGUCCCUUCUCGCUGCCCCUUUGGUGUAUUUGUAUAUGACUUGCAAUUGAAGUCCCUUUAUUUAUUUUUCUUUUUUUNAAAAAAACACACACACACACCCACUUAAUCCCCCACAGACACCUCCAUCCUCAUGAUUUAGAGCGGUAACAGAAGUUGCAGUUGGGAGGUAGCACAAAUUUUGUGCUUUCCCAUCUGUUCUGAUACAAAAAGAAGUCAGAGAGUAUCUGGACACUGUCAGAGUGUUGUAGCAUAUAUCUCAAAGUGACUUUGUUAUAAAAAAGGAGUUUAAUCUCACCUCCUCCUCUUCCCCUCUCUGCGUAACCUUGUGAAAUUUCCACAUUAAAAAGCAAUCACAUCUUUCAAACCAGAAAUGAUUGUAUUUGGCAACAUGGCGGGAACUCCCUAGUGUGCUGGUCAGAGCUUGUUUUCACUAAAACAAAAUCAACUUUCAAAAUAAAUCAUCUACCUCAACAUUAUAUUUCCCAAAUCUUAUAAUCCUAUUAACAGGGGUUGGAUGUUUUGCUUUUUUUCUUUCCUUCAUUGCCACUGGGCUGACACAAUUGGCCAGCUUUCAAUAGUAAGAAAACAGAAAGUCAGUUGAAAAGAGUUUUAGCCAAAACAUGCAGUGAAAGACCUAACUUUUGCCCAGCCAGGCCUUGUGGUUAAAGAGCCCUUAAUGACUAUUGUAAGCCCUUAAAUAUAAUCAUCUGUAUUUCACCUCCAUCUAAUGUACUGCCUGUGUAACGUGUUUAUAUGUUCAGACAGCAGCUUGAAAGUCUCAACAAAUAACUCUGUGAGAAGUGCUGGAGGGCAACAAGGUCACCAUGGCAAUUUCUGUGAAUGAGGCUUCUAUCAAAAUUGCAGAAGGAUGCCAAUAUGCUCAGCGAAGCUGUGUCCAGAAUUAACCUCAGCAAAGUCUCAUUGCCAGAAGUGGAAAUGAUGUGGAUGCAAUGGAAUUCUGGAUCCCUUAAACAGAUACAGUAAUCACUAUGGAUUUGUUAUUAGAUGCUGAAUUUAGUAGAAGGAUGAAGAAAUGCCUUUUCAUAUGCUUGAUUUAAAGGCUAAUGAACUGUUUUUGAUGCUGAAGCCAUAGCAUGUGUGUAUAUGUGUGUAUACCAUUUUUAUUAACUUCUACUUUCAUCUUUUAGUAUACAUAAACAUAAUUUUUCUUGAGUCUUUUUUUUNNAAAAAAUCUUAAAUGUUGAGUUCUACUUAGAUAAGUAGAUAAAUAAAUUCACAGAAAUAUUUAAGUCUGUAAAUAAA